GUGGAAGUUGGGCGCCAUGGCAGGGCCUCGUCCAUCCAGCCUGGGCCGCGCUGGCCGGAGCAGACCGCAAGCGGCCCGCUGGGAGCCCAGCCAAGAGCGGUGUUUUUCCAGGUCCGCGCAGGGCCACGGGAACCCGCGUGUUUGUUUGGUGGGAAUGGAUUCCUGGAAAACUAGACGGAAGGCUCUCCCAGCUGCUGGCUCCGCUCUGUUGAUGGAUACCAUCCAGUGUCACCACAGGGGCUUCCAGUGCCUGGAAUUUUGGUGGGAGGAGAGCAACUUCAGGAAUGAAGGAGGAGGUAACAGCAGCAGAGAUUCAGGGCAGACCUUGGGGAGACACCCAUCAAAGCAGGUGAGGAUGGGGAAAAAGGACUGAGGGUGGGCCCAUCGGUCCAUUCCAGAACUCCCACUGGAAUGUCAAACGGGCUUGAGCGGACAGCUGAGCCCUGGAGCCUGGGGACGAGAUGUUCCAUCCUCUGAGCAGACUGAGGCCGGAUGUCGGCUUGGAGCCGACGCCGCACCAGCUCCAGCUCCCUUCCUUGGCUGCAGGGUCUUCUUUGGAGUGAGGGUCGGCCCUCUCGGCGCCUCAGGGAGCGCAGGGCCCUUCGGAGGCAAGUGGUGUGGGGGCCUCUCCCAUGUGGGGGGCUCUGUUAGACCUCCUUCCUUCUUCUUCUCGUUGGCGGCGAGGCUGGAGGGUGUGCUUUUUCCAGACCCUUCUCUCUCACGAGUCUGAACAGUCAGAGGAAGCGGC
rnacentral:lncRNA from 1 species